AGCGAACGCUGGCGGCAGGCUUAACACAUGCAAGUCGAGCGGGCACUUCGGUGUCAGCGGCAGACGGGUGAGUAACACGUGGGAACGUACCCUUCGGUUCGGAAUAACGCUGGGAAACUAGCGCUAAUACCGGAUACGCCCUUUUGGGGAAAGGUUUACUGCCGAAGGAUCGGCCCGCGUCUGAUUAGCUAGUUGGUGGGGUAAUGGCCUACCAAGGCGACGAUCAGUAGCUGGUCUGAGAGGAUGAUCAGCCACACUGGGACUGAGACACGGCCCAGACUCCUACGGGAGGCAGCAGUGGGGAAUAUUGGACAAUGGGCGCAAGCCUGAUACAGCCAUGCCGCGUGAGUGAUGAAGGCCUUAGGGUUGUAAAGCUCUUUUGUCCGGGACGAUAAUGACGGUAACGGAAGAAUAAGCCCCGGCUAACUUCGUG
rnacentral:rRNA from 1 species